AACGUAGGAGACAAACGUUAUCCGGAGUUACUGGGCGUAAAGGGCGUGUAGGUGGUUUUGUAAGUCUGGCGUGAAAUUUUUCGGCUUAACCGGGAAAGGUCGUCGGAUACUGCAGGACUAGAGGACGGUAGAGGCGUGUGGAAUUCCGGGUGUAGUGGUGAAAUGCGUAGAGAUCCGGAGGAACACCAGUGGCGAAGGCAACACGCUGGGCCGUACCUGACACUGAUGCGCGACAGCAUGGGGAGCAAACAGG
rnacentral:rRNA from 1 species